rnacentral:snRNA from 1 species
GUGCUCGCUUCGGCAGCACAUAUACCAACACUGGAACAAUACAGAGAAGCGUAUCAUGGUCCCUGCACAAGGAUGACAUGCACAUUCAUGAAGCAUUCCAUAUUUUU